CGCCACUGUCGCUCCGCCUCCACGUGGUCGAGCGGCGUGUCUCAGCCCAGCCCAGUUUCUUCGGCGCUCUUUUCAUCUGGCAGUCGGAAUCUGCGAAGUCCGGGUUUGGGUUCGGAGCUCCGUUCUUCUUCUUGCUAGAACCAAAAACAUAUUUCUUGUCGUCAUUGUAUGAGCUGUGAUCCUCUUCUUGCACGCCGACAAUGAUGCUGCUGUCAAAAAUGGAGAAGUUCCGGUUGAUGAACUCGAGCGGUCUUGUUUCCGGGUUGGGUUGAUUCGACCCGAACAACGACUUGGCUUGCUGGAUCAACCCCUAGUUCUCUCUGAUCAAACCGAAGGAACCCAUUUCAAAACACCGUUGGAAGUUGGGAUGCAGAUCAAGGUCUCGAUCCCGUGGAUUUGGGCCUCUUUGGCUCUCUCACAGUUGUUGAACUGAAGCUCGUGGGUCCUGCUCAGCCAGAUUGAGGUCCCGAAGCCGAAGGCCUUGCCGAGAACAGAGCCGUCCCCGACGGCGAAAGAUCGAGUGAGCCCG
rnacentral:lncRNA from 1 species